UACAGAGGUCUCAAGCGUUGUUCGGAUUCAUUGGGCGUAAAGAGCUCGUAGGCGGUUGGGUAAGUCGGGUGUGAAAACUCCAGGCUCAACUUGGAGAUGCCACCCGAUACUGCUCUGACUUGAGUUCGGUAGGGGAGUGGGGAAGUUCCUGGUGUAGCGGUGAAAUGCGCAGAUAUCAGGAGGAACACCGGUGGCGAAGGCGGUUCUCUGGGCCUGACCUGACGCUGGAGGAAGCGAAAGCCGUGGGGAGCGAACAGG
rnacentral:rRNA from 1 species